UAGCCUCCCUCCACCUAGUCCCAGACAGUGGCAGGACUACUCCGCUAGCCUCCCUCCACCUAGUCCCAGACAGUGGCAGGUCUACUCCGCUAGCCUCCCUCCACCUAGUCCCAGACAGUGGCAGGACUAAUGUCUGGUCCAGGGGGUUCCUUGAAGCUCUCUUGCAAGUUAAUACAUUCUGGGCCAUCUGUUUCAACACACUUCCUUUCCAUUACCAAGUGCCCCCCUCCCUGGCCCACAGUCUAAUUAACUUUGGUCCCUCUCCCUCUCCCCGUGCCCAGACUCAAACUGCCCCUCUGAGAGAAGGGGAGAUGGAAAGAGAGAAAGAGAAAGAGAAUGAGAAAUAGAGAGACAGAGAGAGCAUCUUCCCCAAUAUUUGGAACCGAGGCCUGAUCACCCCAAUCCACAAAAGUGGAGACAAAUUUGACCCCAAUAACUACCGUGGGAUAUGCGUCAACAGCAACCUUGGGAAAAUCCUCUGCAUUAUCAUUAACAGCAGACUUGUACAUUUCCGCAGUGAAAACAAUGUACUGAACAAAUGUCAAGUUGGCUUUUUACCAAAUUACCGUACGACAGACCACGUGUUCACCCUGCACACCCUAGAUGACAAACAAACAAAUAAAAAAUAAGGCAAAGUCUUCUCAUGCUUUGUUGAUUUCAAAAAAGCCUUUGACUCAAUUUGGCAUGAGAGUGCUGUACAAAUUGAUGGAAAGUGGUGUUGGGGGAAAAACAUACAAAAUUAUAAAAUCCAUGUACACAAACAACAAGUGUGCGGUUAAAAUUGGCAAAAAACACACACAUUUCUUUCCACAGGGCCGUGGG
rnacentral:lncRNA from 1 species